rnacentral:ribozyme from 1 species
UGCCCAGCAACUCCUAUCCCUACCUCCACGCGGUACCGGCCGGAAACUAUGAGCAACCUUAGGGAAGAUCGGGUAAUCAACCCCGGUGGGAACUUUGGUCGUAGGUUGACAGGGAAGG